rnacentral:lncRNA from 1 species
UGAGGGACUAUUGAUGCUUUUGGUAUCAGCAGCCACAGAAUUCAUCAGACACAGCACAAAAGAGCAGGAGAAGAGAUAAUGGCAGAUGCCAGAAGGUUGUCCAGCUGGUUACUACCUCUCCUCUUCACCUGAUUAUACCUGAUUACUGCUGACUCGAUGGGCAGGGAGAGUCGCUGACUCCUGACAGAAAGACUCUGUCACCCCUUGCCAUUUAUUUUAGAUCCUGUGAAUCCUACUGUCAAUGUUGUGACACCUGCAAUGCCUGGGAUGAAGCUGCCCAUGUGGUGAGAUGCAGCCUGUGGAAGCCUCUUUUCAGUGGAGUGAGAGCCAAGCCCCCUUGGCUUUUCAUAGACAAUUGGUGAACGGGACAAGGAGACACUGUCCUUGGAUGUCUGAAAAAAAAAGAAAAAGGUUGCAAAACAUGUUGCCAAUAAGAAUGUUGUAGAUGAAAGGCAGGAUGAAGGAAAGUGGUCUUAAUUUAAAUUCUCUAUUUUACUAAACCUACUCUUUAACAAAUAUGUUUAUGUGAGGCAUCAGAAGCAAAUGUAUUUUGGCUUUUAAGAGAAUUAAAAUUGUUUCCCCUAUUUUUUUAUUUGUUUGCUUUGGUGGCUUUGUGACCAAAAAAAUUGUUUUAAUCCAAAUAGCCACAAUAAAUAAAUAAGCAAAUGAAUAAAAUUCCCAGGUCAUUUGAGAGAAAAGAUUAACUGAAAAGGUAAAGCAUCUCCCCCUUUUUAGUUUCAGUUAAUUAUAGUGUCAGGAUGACUUUUUAACUUACCUGGCAAUCUGGAACCUCAUAGAGUCACUUGCGUUUUCAAAAUUUCCAUGUGAAAACAUGAUUGUGCCAAGUACUCCCUAUUAACUUUUAGACAUCAUCUAUAAAAUCACUACAGGAAAAUAUGGAAAUAUCUGAGAGAUACACAGUGGAUCGCCUCAGAAUAAAUCGUUCCCCAAAUCAUUUUAUGACUGCCUGAGUCGGGACUCAUGGGUCAGAGUAGAGUCAUAGUUAAGGUUUGCAACUGGCUUAGUAGCAAGAGGGGAUAAACAAACUAUCCAGGCUGUUGAACUGUCCAGUUUCGCUACAACUGUAUUUACUUGUUGGGAUCAACUGUUUUCUUUCCUAUUAAGGUAUUAGUAGCCACUGAUAAUGGAAGCCAGGGCCCGCUAGAAAUAGACCAGAGGAAAUUUCCUGACUCACUUGCAUAACAACAGUUCAUCAGCACUGAAGAUAUAUGAAGUGUGACUGCAGAGUAAUGGGAGUGAUUAGGUUUCUCUGCACAACAAAACUCUUACAUACAAAUGAGCACUGUCCCCUUCAGGACAGUCCUCAGGGAACCCGUAUGCUUAUUCCGGUGUGUGAUUGGUCUGGAAGCAUUUUUGGAUGCCCUCUGGACAGAAAGUGCUUUUGGACACUGUUAGUGGUGACAAAGUGUGUCCUUUGAGGAUGGAUUAGAUUGUUGGAAAUGAUACAAUGUAUUCACAGUAUACAUCUGUUGUUUUUGUCUACCCAGAAGCCUCUGUCCAAACUUGUGGUUGGAGAGGCUGUAUUUCUUCUGUCGUUCAUUCUGUCUUUGAAGGCUCUCGAGGAGAAAAUAGCUUUUAAUAUCUCUUGGGAAAUGGCCACAUUUUCCCCUGGCAAUUGAACCCAUGGCUUUCUUGAAUGACUACUCCUCAACCAGGUCUAAGUUGUUUAGGUAGGCUGACUUGACCACCAGUUCCAGAGCACAGACAUGUGACGAGCCUGGCCAUAGUCAUUGAUUCAGGGAUGGACACAUGACUGAAACGGCAUGCUGGCAUUUAGUUCUGGUACUUGGAUUUUAACUGUUGGGAGGAGAAUUUCUCACUCUGCUAUGAUAUAAGCAUGAAGCUACUGGCUUCCACUUGCUGCUACAAAGAGCCUGCUUAAAAAUGGAGCCAACAUAAAAGGAAGCAGAUUUAAGACCUGAGCGAUGAGAGCGUGCACAUGUGUGUAUAUCCACAUAAUGAGACUAAGUCUUGAUUUCUGCACCUUGAUCCAGAUAUACCUGGAGCAGAAACUCUGCUGGGACUCUUUUGUAUCAUGAGCCAGUAACCUCCCUAUUUGCCUAGUAGGUUGAUUUGGGCUUCAAUCUUGCAACCAAGUGAGUCCUGACUAAACCAGCAGAAUGGAGCCAGGUAAGGUUCUUUCUCAAGAAGAGAAGAAGGAAGGUAUCAAGACGUUUAUGACAAAUUUCUACUCAACACUGAGCACCUGCUAAGUGCUGGGCCUAAUAGUCGAGAUGCUGCAAUGAACUAGUCCAUUCAGGAUGCUGAGGUGUUUCAGCCUAGAAGAGACUGCUUUUCUUCCUUUGCUCAUGCAGACUCAGGGGGCCAUUCUCAAGGAGGAGUUAGUGACAGGAAUGUCUUUGGCAAAGACAGCACUCUUGAGUGUGGUCAGAACAUGUUAUUUAUUUCCCAAGAUGAUUAGUUUUUGAAGAAGACAACAAAUAGUUGAGGCUAUGAAUUCUAUCUCUGUAAAAAUAGAGUUAUGUUUUCCUCCUGUAGUCAGAUCUCCUGUGGAACGUGAGUAAACAGGAAUUUCUAUGUAUGGAGCAAGGACAGUAUGGUUAGCACAUAAUACAUGUGUUUAUUUCAGAGCUGGGGAGGACUCCUGACCAGCGUGACACCUAACAUUGGAGUGAAGGGGCAGCAGAUGUGACUUGUUCCUCCUUGCCUUCCACCGUGAUUGUGAGACCUCUCCAGCCACGUGAAACGGAAUGGGAAAUACUCUUCUCCUACCACCAACUUGGCCACUCUCCAGUGACGAGGUUUCAGAAGCAGUGCAUUUUCAAGUUUCUGCCUCAGAAGAGAUCCAGUUUGGCAUUCUGUCUAAGUUCACUGCACAGAGACGGGUUUGGCUCUGUGAUUCAUCAGAAAUAAGAAAAACAAACACUGUAAAUGGAGAACUUGAAAAAGAGGUGGGCACCAUCUCCCCACCCAAGAGAAUGGAUUUAAGAGGAAAUUUGUUUAUGGGAUGAAGUUUUAAAAGGCGACCUGGAAAAUUUAGCAAAGAUGUAAAUAAACAACUCUUCCUUGGAUUGCAUUAGGCUUCAGAAUAAAUAUAUUAACCAGCUUCAGUCAAAGUCUGCCUAGAAUCUGACCCUGACAAGACCCAGUGACUAGUGCUGCUCCGAACCUUCCCCACCAACAGCAGGCAAUUUUCUCUGUGGCAAAGCUACCUCGAAACAGGCAUCCAGGCUUCCCUCCCACGAAGUGAAGAUGAGAAAACUGAGUCUCAGAAUGGACAAGCUCACAGAUGGCAAGUGGUAGAGCAGACUUCACACAUAGCUUCUGCCACGUCCCGGGUCCCAGAGUGUGCCUGCUCAGAUCCCAGAAAACUUGCAGGAACAGGAAGAGGUCACACAGUGUUAAGGGGAAGGGAGAACAGGAACGGCGGGU